AGCAGAGUAUAACAUUACAUGAGUCAUGGCCUUUCUCAAGAGAGUAAAAGUAAGCAUAUUUUUAUGAGUUGAUUGUUUAACUCUUAGAACAUUUGACAUGGGGUCUAUUGAUUGUGGAGGGGCUGAUCUCCUCCUCGUGGGUUAUUUGAGCUCCUCUCUGGGCCUAGGUAUAUUUUUGUCAUAAUUUAUCCCACCUGUGUCUGUCAAUUCCUUUCCACUUGCCUCCUCCCGUGACAGUCUGGCUCAUGUUUCUUCAAAAAGCUCUAAGCCAGUUAUUAAUAACAGCCCAGAGAGUCUCCUGAUCCAUCUAGGAGCAUAUGGUGUUUUCACGAAAGAGAGAGAUCAUCUCCUUGACUUUGAACUUCGCUUUUUGAACGCCUGAACAGACUGGUAGAUUCGAUUCUCUAUCUGGAUGAAACAGAAAGGAAGGUUGUCUCAGAGAAGAUCUGUUUCCCAAAGUGCUACCCUAUAACUCAGGAGGUACGAUGAGAUUUUUGUUGUCCUUUAUGAGCUUUCGUUCUGCAAAUGUUUAUUUAAUAUCUACUGUGUGCAAGUCACAGUGCUAGGUUAACAAAGAGACAAUAAACUCUAAAUGUAGUAGGAGAAAGAAGUCAUUUCAUGGGUAAGUCUGAUUGGGAGUCAGAGUGGGCUUGUUCCAUGGUAUAUGAGAAGAAUAGACAGGAUACUGUAGGUAUUCCACAGGGCCUUCACACCCAAAACUUACUCACUGAAAAUGGGCAUUAUAGGUCAGACUUCCCCUUGGAAGCGUGUACUUUCUUGGAAAAUGAUUCAGUGAUCUUCAGGGCUCCUCCUUGGGUUCACCUUCUAAGUCAUGAGCCUGUGAGGCAUAGAACAGCACCUUAAAGUCACAUCUCAUCCUUCCCACCAACCCCCAUGUUUUUUAUUGAGCACCUAUUUUGUUCCAAGUUCUAUGCUAAAUGCUGGAAAUAUAAUUCUGCCUCAAAAGAGGUCAAAAUCUUUUAUUUAACUUGAAAUUCUGUUCUCCAAUCUAGCCUCCAAUCCACCUUAGCUAAACAACUCCAAAUAACAUUGAGCUGGUUUCAAAAAUCAAAUCUUCACUUUAAUAUUUUAAAAAAUCAUCGCUGAUGAAUUUAUGGAGAGAAGUGUGUGUUACAGAAUAAGAGGACAGUUUAAAAGGUUUUGCCAGUUGCUUUCCAGAACUCAAGCAGGUCCGGAGAUUCUCCAUGCUCCUCUACUCACCAAGCCCAAACCUGGGAUGACACUUGUCUGGACGUAUGAGUUCUGCAGAUAAAAAGCAAAAACCUAACAAACAAACACCCUUAGUGCCACUCCUGCUUCCUCACAUCAUGAAAGGACCAGUGUUGGAUGACCCUGCUGUGUUAGGGCUUCCGGGUGAAGCCUUUCAGGGCUGGUCCCCAGCCAGGGCUCUGGGCAGUUCCAGAGCUUCUGGGCCUUUCCGGUUUGGUCUUGUAAGAGUGCAUUACAGCUGUGAUUCAUGGAGAGGGUUGGGGAACUUGGCAGGGAGAAGGUUGAAAACAUUUUAAAUAUUUGGUUCCAGAAUAUUUCUUAAUGUUAAGUGCCUGUAAUUGAGUGAUGUCUUCUUAGGGGUGACGCAUAGUCUCCUAUUUGGGGCAGGUAUGUGGUUGGUGGGAAAUCUCAGCCUUUAGGCAUCUUGGUAGCGGAUGAUUAAAAGGAAAUGUUUGUUCAUGUGUAGAAAAAUAGUCCAUUUUAGGGCCAGAAUCUUUACUUAAAGCAUUUGAGCUAUGGUCAUAGAUGGCUUAGGAAGGCCCAAACUGGACAGGUGUUGACACAGAAAGGACGCAUGAGAGGGACAGUUGAAGAUAAGAGAAGAAGAGUGGUUCCACAUGGGGUGAUCAGUGGACCCUCAUGAGUGCUGCCAGAUGAGCCAGCGCCCUGCUGUCCCCAUGUCUGUGUGGCUGCUGCAGCUUCUCAGGGCUUUCCAUCUCUUAAGUCCAUUUGUUUCCUCUCAUCCGUCUGAGUCACUCUUCUCUCUUUGGGAUAGUUGGGCUGCAGAGAAGUGGCAUCUUUCUGAUUCUGCUGCUUCAUCGUACCAACCACUAUUUUGUCCAGUACCAGGCAGCACGCUGGGCUCUUGGCUUACCUUUUUGUCAAUCCUGAGAUACUGCAGUGACUAAGACUUUGGAGCCAAACAGACCUCCACUUAAAUCCCUGGUUAUUCUGGGUCUGUGAUCUUGAAGAGCUCACUUAACCCCUCUGGUCUUGUCUCUCCAUCUAAGGAAAUAGGAGUGUUAAUAACUCACCUCAUAAGGUUUUAUGAGAUUAAAAUCGAAGCAUCUGUAGGCCCGUCUUAACUGUAGUUACGAAUAAAAUCCUUUCAAACUCCUGCAAAACAGAUAUUAUCUCUGUUCUCCAGAUGAGGUAGUAGGUGAGGUUGAGUGCAGGGUACAAGGCUACAGAGUGAAGAUCAGCCAGAAUCAGGAUCUAAAACCAGUUCCAUCUGGCUCCAAAACCUACUCUCUCCCCACUCCACCUUGCUGAUUGACCAUCUGUGACAAAGCAUAUGUUUUUGUUUUCAGUCAAAGUUCACUUUGUCCAGUUCUGUGCCUCAUGAGCCUGACCUGCCAAGUUUCUCAGUUUUCACUUGUGCUUUCCUUUAUUCUGGACUCUCUGGGCUUACCUUGGCCUGAAUCAAAGAAAUUGGGAGGUGAUGAAGGUAGAAUAUCUGCAAACAGCCAAGUCUGGUGAAAUGCAGAAUCCAGUUUAUCAUAAAUGGCAGAAAAUUGCUGAGGCAAUUAUGACAGUAGCUCUGAAGAAAAGUAACUGUGUGACAUCAGACAAGUCACUGUACUUCUCUGGGCCUCGUUUGUCAAAUGAGAAGUUUACAAAAUCUCAAGUCUCUUUUCCAGUGAUGACAUUUCCAUAAUAUUUCAGACCUUUCACUGCUGUUGGUUUUCUUAGCUAGAAAGAGAAACAUCUUCUCGAAAUCAUAUCUUAAUCAGGAAACAAGGUACAACAAUGAUGCUUGCAAUCAUUUAAGUGUAAAGCCCUAUGCCAUUUAAUAUGAUUCUCACUGAAGCUUUUUCUCAUAUAAGGCUCAUAGCAUUGAUGAGUUAAUUUCUCAGAUGCAUGUUGAAUUUCCUUUAUCAUAUAAUUCAGCUUUGGGCAGAAUCAAAUGGAUGCAACUUGAACUCAAAAUAGUCAAGAAAGUGUAACUUUAACUCAAAUUCUAGAAACUUACAGAACACACAAAAUCCAUGUACCAUUGAAUGUGCCUGAGUUUAUAGUUAACUUCUAAAUGACUCAAAUUUGAGGUGUUUACAUCUCCUGCCCUGCCACACCACCAUCCAUUUCUGGAGUUUUAAGGGCACACAUCUCAUUAGGCUGUAGAAACGGUAGCCAUCCCAACAAGACACUUCUAUCUUAAAAUCCUGUAGGGCCGGUGCCAAAUUUUUGUUGUCUUCCAACAGCUUGACUUGGUUCCUUAAUUACAAGCAAAAAACAAAAACAAAAGCAAAAACAUAAACAAGACAUAAUUCCCAUAUGAUUUCCCAAAUUUCUAAAAGAUAAUUUUAUUUAAUAUAAAUUUUACGAGAAAGAGACAUACUCCAUUUGGAGACAAAUUGAAAGCACCCAACUUUGGGAUUUUAUUUUUAAAAUAUUUGCUGGGAAAAGUAGUCUUACGAUAUGUGUUUUUCUUGUUGUGAUUGACAUUUGAACUUUAAGUCUUCCAAGAAAAUUUCUACUUCAUGUGCAAUGAUUAAAUCAAUAUUUGUUGAAAACUAAUUAGCUUCAGAUAGCAUGAGGCACUGGGAUCCAGGAUGGGUAAGGCCAUACCCACUUUCUAGAAAGACAGCAACUGCUUCUGGGGUGGUGAACGCAAACAAAUAACCAUAACACAGUGUAGUGAGUUGCGAUGCAUUAUAGACAAGUGGGCAAUAAAUUCUGCCUGAGGAAGUCAGGAUGGAUCACAGAGGAGGUAACAAGGGUUUCAAAGGAUGAGUAGGCAUGUGAUAGUUUUAUGUGUUUAGGUGCUUAAAGAGAACCUGAGAGGAGUGAUUCAUUUAAGAGGUACUAUCUAAGAGGUAAUAUGCUAGACUAUAAUUAAUAAUAAUAGUCACCACUGCUUAUUAAAUGUUUGUUGCUGGGCACAAGUAUUAACUCUUUUAAUUCUCACACUGCCUAAGAAGUAGGUACUAUUAUUAUCGUCCCCAUUUUAUAGAAGUGCUAACUGAGGUACAGAGAGUUCAUGUAACUUGUCCAAGAUCUCACGGUAAGUGGCGGAUCUGAGUUGAACUCCAUCAGUCUGAUUCCAGACCCAUCUCUCAACCACCACGUCCUAGAAGCAUUCUUAUUGUUUCUCCGUCCAGUUAAUGUUAAGGAUGUCAAGGGGAGAAAUUUGUCAGUCAUAAGUUGAUCAGUGGAUAGAUAACAAACUAAUAAUAAACAAGAAUAAAAUUGCAUAUAGUAAAAGCUAAUAAAAAACGGUACUUUCAGCUAACCUGAUUGCUUGACAGUAAGCUCGUAGUGCUGUUCUGUGACUAUUCCAUUUACAAAGAGUAGACUGUUUAGAUGUGAAUAAAUUAACAACUGGCUGUCGAAAAGAUAUUCUGGCAAAUUCAGGGUUAUGGGGCCCAGAGGGGUAACUGCAAGACUGUCCAUCCCAAUCUUCAACAUAUUCAGUUCACAUAUACAGAAAGGAGCCAGAACCGAAGAGGAAGAGUGGCCAUUAACAAUUACAUGUGGAUAUUUCCAUUUCAGUAUAGUCACUUUCCAUUGUAAUAUAGAUGUUUUCAAAAGUAAUUUUUCAUUUAAAAACAUUAAUAAAUCCAUGUAGUUGAAAGAGGUGACACCUGCGGACUGGAGUCCUGGGUUAGUAGUAUUUAGGUUCCAGCAUAGAAUACUGAAUAGUCUUGGGCCAUUGCUCCAUCUCCCAAUAGUGCAUAAUCACAGCCUGGCACAUAUUACACCCUCAAUAAUCGUAAUUAUUAUACUUUACUUAAGUUUCCUAUUCAGCAAAAAUGAACAGAUUUCAAUUAUGUCUCAUUUUUCAACUUGUGUCUCUAGGGAACUUCCAUUAACAUUAUUUUGACCAUUAGAUAUUGAUGGAAGCAAAGAGUAGGAUUCGCAAAUUCUUGUCAAAAAAGAAAAUAUUUUUUGAAAUGUGACUCAUGCAUCUAAGACUAUAAACUUGAAUCCAAUGAAAAGUGUUUUUCUUUUGAUUGAAGAAGAGACUUUGCAAAGUAUGUUCUGUUCUUUGUCUUGACCAAGAAUCCACGCUUAAUAAAGGGAAAUAGUAGAGGUUGAGAGAAAUCAAGAAAAGGGUGAAGUCUUAGUACUAGUAAUAAUUUUAUAUAAUAGAGGAUUUUUUGUUUGUUUGUUUUGCAUUGUUUUGUUUUUGCCAAGGGACCAAGACAGUUAGCAAAUGCACUCUUCUUAUAGUCCCAGGAGUCAGAGUUGAUUUGAGAAUACUCAUUUUACAUAAAAACAAAAUUGUAAAGGUUUUAAAGGCAAGAGCCUAUAUGCUGAUGCCAGAGUGAAGAAAGAGAAUACAAUGAUGUUCAACCCCAGAGAGCAAAGAUUAUUGCUACUCUCCAUUUGUCUAAGUUACUUUGUGGGAUGCCACCAUUCAACUCUUCAAUAAACAAUCAACAAGUCAAUUGGAAUUAGAUUAUUUGGACUCAUGAUUGAGGUAAAAGAAAAAAUAAAGACAAAUUUUAAAAACUAGACGAGAGAAUAUUCAUUCUAUUUUCAGUACAGCGUUCCAUAAAAUAAAUUGAUCCCCAGAGCCUUCUGGAAAUAGGGAAAAGAAAGGUAGGUAGAGGCAUUAAGAUGGGAGGGGAAAUUAUUUGCCGUCCUCUGAAAUUUCAGUGUGAAAUACAUUUGGCCCAAAAUAACCUAGGAUAUCUCAUAUCAGAAAUUGGAGGUGAUGUUAUUUUAGCUAUGAUUUUUAAAUACUACCUUCAAAAUAAGAACACAGUCUUGAGAUAGUCACACUCAAUGUAUUCUGGCUUACGUUUAGAAGUGUCCUAACUUGUUUGACAUUUGUUUAUAUUUUUAGUGCACAAAAAACACUAGGAAUCAUUUUUUUUCUGAAAAUUGCUGCUGUUAAAUAAUUUUCCCCCCAAAGAAUGUCCCUGCGAUCCCGAAGAAAAAACGCUUGAUUAGCAAACUUCUACCUAAGUAAGUAAGAACUUAUUAGGUCAAAUGUAAACCAAAGUACUGUGACACGCAUAACUUUAAUCCACAGUAAUAUGUGAGUGUGUUAGCAAGCUUAUGAUGAUACAAAUUUGUGUCCUUCCAAUGACUGAGCUCUUGAAACAGAUCUAACAUCAAGGAGAAGAAACAAACAGGAACUACCCACAUUCCUCUUUCUAAUGAGCAUUUUGAAUGAGACAAGAACAUGUUCGUUAGCAAAAGAGACUUAAUAUGAACUCAAGGAAAAUUAAAUUUAUCAGUGAAACAUUUUAAUGAAAAUAUUUGUUAACAUGAUUGGUUUGACAAAAUUAAAAUGAGUGUAUGUUACUUUUCAAUACACAGAGAAGAAAGAGGACUAGCAAUUACGGGACUACUUUCUUUAGUUCUCUGAAGUUACAUAAGCAACAUCCUUUUAAAUGAAAAUGUGAGAAAUGGAAAAAGCAAGGGAAAAAAUAUCACGCAUAGUCCUUCUACCCAAACUUGGCUACUCUGACCACUAUUGACAUUUGUAGGUAUUUCUCUGUUUUCCUUUUUUAAUAUUUCAAUCGUAAAGUCUAACAUACAUACAGAAAAGCACGUAAAACUUCUAUGUACGGUUUCACAAGUAGUUAAAAAGUGAUUCCUAAUGUAACUGCCACCCAGGACAAGAAAUAAAGCAUUGCUGGAACUCCCCACCUCUCCCUUCCCUUCGCUCGCUAAAGUCACCACUCCCGUGAUUUUAUAGUAGCCAGUCCCUCGUUUUUCUUGAUAAAUUUACCACCCACACCAUUGCCACCCAUAUAUACACCCCUGAACCAUGAGCUUUUAACUGUUUUUCUACUUACAUAAAUAUUAUUACAUGAUAUGUUUUCUUUUGUGUCUUGCGUUUUAAAAAUUAAACACUAUGUUUGUAAAACUGACCUCUGUUUUCAUAUUUAUCUGUAGCUUAAUUUCAUUAUAGUAUAAUAUUCCAUUAUAUGAAUUUAUCUACCUACUAAUGGGCAUUUGGGUUGUUUCUAAGUUGAGGAUAUUAUGAGUAAUGUUUGGAUAGGUGUCCGGGUGUGGAUAUCCAUGCAUUUCUUUAGGAUAUACACCUAAGAGCGUAAUGAGUGGUCAAAGGUAUGGAUUUUAAUCAUAUUUAAAUAUUUUAACGUAAUUUUCUAAGUAGUGUUCUAUUCAUAAUUGUAAUAACUAUCAUUUUAUUGGAUAAAUAAUCUUCCAUUUGUGGCUGGAUUUUAAAGCCUGAUCUUUUGUAAUAAAUUCACUCCUCCAUUUUCUAAUUUUUUUGUAAAAGUGAUGCAAAAUCUUAAAACUGAUAGAAUUUACAGCAGACAUGCAAUCACAUGAGUUAUGUUCUCCUCUGCAGACAGAGAAAUUUUGUUUGUUUGUUGUCAUGGAAGAUAAUGAAGCCAAUAUAUUUAAAAUAAUUUUUAGGGAAUUGUUUUGUGUUGAGUUAUAUUUGACGUACAACAUUGUGUAAGUUUAAGGUGUACAACACAUUGAUUUGACACAUUUAUAUUGCAAUAUAAUUGACAUAGUAGUGUUAGCUCACACCUCUAUUGCCUCACAUAAUUAUCAUUUCUUCUAAUGUUGGAAGAAUUAAAAUCUAGUCUCUUAGCAGUUCAAUGUUAACAACAGUUUUAUGGUCUGUAUUCACUGUACCGUGUAUUAGGUCUUCAGAACUUAUUUAUCUACUAGUUGCAAGUAAGAACUCUUAAACAAUAUCUCUACCCACCCCCCUUCCCCCAAGAAUUGUUUUUUAAAAGCAUGGUGAUUGUUUGCCCUGCCAGGAAAAUCCUAGAAUUCAGCUUAACCUUUCUGUUAAAGGUUUAGUUUUUAGCUAUACAAUUCUGUAAUAAGUUGAAAUUAAAGCGUCAUAUUUUUCAAAGUGCACUCUUUGACAUCUCCUUCCUGACUUCUUCGAGAGUAGUUUUAGAGUUUCUCCAUGCAGGCUUUCUGCCCCUCCACUUCAUACACUACCUCACUAUCCAAUAAAACCUUUUGAUAUGCUUUGACACAGGAACCAAGGUUGCUAAGAGACCACCUGUGCUGAAUCCACUUUGUUCUAGCAAGAGCAGACGGAAAGAACACCAAGGAGCAGUGUUAGCUGUCACUACCUGGGAUUAAGGCAGGUGAGAAAUGGGUUUCUGCUCACUCUUCCAUCCCCACCAGUUGUCUGGUCUUUCCCUCACUUGCUAUUUCAUUCUCUCCCUUACUGUUACUGUCUUACUGUGGAGAAAAUUGAAGGUACCCCUCAGAGCACAGACUGAAGAGACACAAGCUGGAGGCUGAGGCUGUAGGAGGGAAGGAAACUCAGUUUGCAAACCCAUGUAUUAUUCUUACCCCUUGUUUCUGAAACAUAAGCAAAGGGAAUUGUUGAAUGUGAGGGAGAUUCUAGAAGUUUACUUUGCCAGCGAUGGCUGCAUGAUUUGCCACACAUCGCUCUCUCCUCUAGGAACGAGGCUGGUUAUUACAGAAAUUAAUUAAGAUUGCUAAAAGUGGGAGAAGACAGCACCUGUAUAAAUCUCAUAUAUCUCUUCCUCUCUCUUUAUCCUUCUCUCUUAAAACUCAACCUGCCUUUUUGGUUUUUGAGUGAAAUUAGCAGAAAAUAUUUCCCUACCUCAAUCUUGCCACUUUCCAAAGGUAUUGAUGUUCAUCUUAAAUUGGGUGUUAGGGACUUUGAUGUAAGGCUUUGAAAAUUACUUGACUUAUUUGACUUUGCAUUCCUGAAAAGGGCAUUAAGAAUGGUUCUAAACUCCCUAUCUGACAGGCCUUUGGUAAAAUGUUCCAACAGUGUGCUAAACAAGUCACAAAUUAAUACCUUUUACAAUUCCAUAAUACUUUUUAAAAUUCCAGCUAUUUUUUAAACUGUUUGAUUAACAUAGAAAUGUGGAGGAAAUAAAACGUUUAAUGUCUUAUUAAGUGACCAAAAUAUUAGAGAGAUGAUCUUGAGGAAAGAUCAAGGAAAUGAAAAAGAACUUUUAUUGUUUAAUUUUUAAAAAUUUUAUCACCUGCCUUUUUCCAUGUCUUCAAAUUCUCAUUUCCUGGUAAUAAUGACAGCACAGGUUGGAAGAAUGGCAAUUUUACUGAUGCCAGUAAAAAGGAUUAUAAACACUUUCCAGAUAAGACUUCAUAAAUAAUCUUACUACUGAUAACAUGAAAAGAGAUGGGUCAUUCUGAUAGUGCCUUGAGCUGUUUCCUUUAGAAAGAAAAGCAAGUUUGGCAUAUAGAAAAACCUAUGAGUAUGGCAAAAAGUGGUCAAAAUUAGCAAGUGAACAAUAUUUUAAUUAGGCAGAAAAAUAUUUUAGUUUGUUGGUUGAUUACAAAUACGUACAGAGCACUGCCUGAAAGACAUUUCUCCAUCAUUUUUUUACGGUGCAAAUAUUAGGUUGAAUUUAAAGAAUCAGGAUUAUAAAUGUGCUCAUUUGAGGAUACUUUUCUCUUUUUUUUCCCCUAGGGAGCAGGAGCUUUCUGAAUAUGACGUGUAAAAACUGGAUAUUAAUUUCUACUACUACCCCCACAAGUCUGGAAGAGGAAAUUGUGGGAAGACUUCUAAAAAUUUUGUUUGUUAUCCUUGUUGACUUAAUGUCUAUUAUAUAUGUUGUUAUUAGUUCUUAGUUCUGACUUCCCUUACUUUACAUGUAAAUUCCAUAUUGAAUUCCAGUGAAUAAAAAUUUGUAGUCUAAUAUGUUGAGUAAAUUUAAUUUGAUGACAUCUCCAAUUAUUCUCAAAGCCAACAGAACAUUACAAUAAAAACAAUAUUGUGUUUAGUACUUUAUGGUUUAUAAAACAUUCAUAAAUUGAAGUGGAAUUCUUUCCCCCCAAAAUCUACACUAUUGAGUCAUAAAAUUUCUUGACUUUUAGCACAACUGUUAUUUGGUAGAUUGACUAAACUUUGUCGGUAGAAUAUGAGUGAAGUUGAUUUUUUAAGGAUGCACACCUAUGUGAAAUUUUAUAUGGUUCUAUUUUUAACAUAACAAGCUUAACAUAGGAUAAUUUUUCCACCCGAUAUACCAAUAGUUUAUAUUCAUUUUCUUGUACACAUACUUCAUCUGUGUGGUGGUAGAUUGUUUUUCUUAACCCCGGACAAUUUUUUUCUACCAGCAAACACUAAGAGGAAUAGAAAUACUAAAAAGAGAUUCUUUUAGGAAAAUAGAACUUAGAGAAAACAGGGAGCAACCUGUGUUGAUUUUCCAUUUUGGACUAAAUACUCACAGUAUGUGAUUUAACAUAAGGCUCAUGAUAAUCCUUGGAGGCAAGUGUUUGUUGUCCCUAUGUGACAGACACAGAAACUGAAUUUUGGAAGAAUUAUUCUAGCUUGAGACCACCACCAGGAAGUGGUAGAACCAGGUCUCAGGCCUUUACAGUCCGUGAUAUCGUGUUGCCUCCAAAGAUAGACAAUAAAUAAAAAGACAAGUGUGGGCUCUGUAGAGCUCAACUUCUUUUCGUAGUAAUGUUUUAUUCAAGAUCCUAUGGUUGUAUUUUAGUGUACCCCUACUUAUUCUUAUUCCAUAUUUAAAAAUCUUUUAUGAAGAAGAAAGAUUGUUUACUCUUUU
ensembl:lncRNA